rnacentral:rRNA from 1 species
GACGAACGCUGGCGGCGUGCUUAACACAUGCAAGUCGAACGGAAAGGCCCUGCUUUUGUGGGGUGCUCGAGUGGCGAACGGGUGAGUAACACGUGAGUAACCUGCCCUUGACUUUGGGAUAACUUCAGGAAACUGGGGCUAAUACCGGCUAGGAGCUCCUGCUGCAUGGUGGGGGUUGGAAAGUUUCGGCGGUUGGGGAUGGACUCGCGGCUUAUCAGCUUGUUGGUGGGGUAGUGGCUUACCAAGGCUUUGACGGGUAGCCGGCCUGAGAGGGUGACCGGCGACAUUGGGUCUGGGAUUCCGCCCAGACUCCUACGGGAGGCAGCAGUGGGGAAUAUUGCACAAGGGGCGGAAGCCUGAUGCAGCAACGCCGCGUGCGGGAUGACGGCCUUCGGGUUGUAAACCGCUUUCGCCUGUGACGAAGCGUGAGUGACGGUAAUGGGUAAAGAAGCACCGGCUAACUACGUG